UCGGGGAACUUUUCCAAUGCGCGAAAGCGUGAGAAAGUAAGUCAGAGUGAUAUAGAUAUAAUUUCUGUAUCUUUUGUUUAUUGUAAAAAGAUAGACGAAUAAGGAGUGGGCAAGAUCGGUGCCAGCCGCCGCGGUAAUCCCGACGCUCCAAGUCGCAGCCACAAUUAUUGGGUCUAAAACAUUCGUAGCUUGUUUUUUAAGUUCUUUGUGAAAUCUGACAUCUUAAGUGUUAGGCGCGCAAGGAAUACUGGAGAACUUGAGACCGGAGGAAGUAAGGAGUACAACCGAGGUAGUAGUAAAAUAUGUUAAUCUUGGUUGGACUAACAACAGCGAAGGCACCUUACUAAUACGGAUCUGACAGUGAGGAAUGAAGGCUAGGGUCGCGAAACGG
rnacentral:rRNA from 1 species